rnacentral:rRNA from 1 species
UACGUAGGGGGCCAGCGUUGCUCGGAAUUACUGGGCGUAAAGGGUUCGUAGGUGGUGCGGCAAGUUGGGAGUGAAAUCUCUGGGCUUAACUCAGAGGCUGCUUUCAAAACUGCCGCGCUCGAGUGCGAGAGAGGUCAGUGGAAUUGCAGGUGUAGCGGUGAAAUGCGUAGAUAUCUGCAGGAACACCAGUGGCGAAGGCGACUUACUGGACACAUAUUGACGCUGAGGUGCGAAAGCGUGGGGAGCAAACAGG